AAAUUAUUUACGUUCAACAGGCCUAACAGAUAGUGGCGGGUCAAAAGCUGGAAGCAAACCAAAGGCCUAUCAAUUUAUGAAUGGAUAAACAAACUGUGGUUCAUCCAUAACAGGUAUAGCUCAUCACUGGAUGUGUUUCAUCCAGGGAAAUACUAUUCGGCCUUGUAGCUAAAAACUACAAGUUUAGUUUAACUAAAAGUGUAAGUUUUAGUUCUGUAGUUAAAACUUAAAAAGGUACUAAAACGCUGGAGUAUUUCAAACUGCUGCUGAUUGUCAACUGGAAAUUAGAUAAAAUUCGAAAUUGUAAUAUUAAAUAAAAAACAUUUACAAGACAAAAAAAUCGAGUUUUUUUAAUGAAUGUGGGAAUUGUUUUGCUAAAUUUUCCAUUAAUUUACAAGAUAUUCUCCAAGUCUCUCAGUAAAUGUGAAAACAAAGGAGAGGUUUAAAAAAAAAACUUUAAAAAAAUAAAAAAUAAACACCGUUUCAGAACUGUGCCACCUGAAAUUUAUCUCCACGGUUUGCAAACGCUCAGAAGUCUAUUUUCAAUAUGCUUUGUUGCUGCUGUUUAGUCGCUCAGUCGCGUCUGACUCUUUUCAACCCCGUGGACUAUAGCCAGCCGGGCUCCUCUGUCCAUGGAAUUCUCCAGCCAAGAAUACUGGAAUGGGCUGCCAUUUCCUUCUCCAGGCUAUCUUCCCAACCCAGGGAUACAGCCAGCGUGUCCCGUAUUGGCAGGCGGAUUCUUUACCACUGUGCCACCUGGGAAACACUUUCAAGACGCUACUGCAAAGUAUUCAUCAGAAGAAUCCUCUGUGUCAAUAUUUAUGUGCUUUUCUGGGGGAUCAGAGUGGGCAGUUCUAGCUGCCACAAACUCACAACCCAAUUCAAAUGCUAAAGCAAAUACCCGGAGGGUAAGAAGGCCCCCGCUGUGCGGAGUCACAGGAGGAGGACAUCAGUUUGUAUGGUCCAAAAGCCCUCAGGGUGAAAAGUGCCCUGGGUAAAGCCUCCAAUUAUCCUGCCCUGAUUUGACUCUCAGGUGGCAAGUAAGGCCUCAGGGAAGAAAAUAAACUCAUUCAUUGUAGUCAUUGGGAGCUUUCUGAGUGCAGAGUAGGUUUCCAAACACUGAUAUUAGUCUGGGUGAAUGGCAAUCCUCACUUAACCAGGCUUUUUUCGGAAACCUGAAACUCACCUACCCAAUUAGAAAGUCAGAAAAAUGUCUCUAUGUUCCCUGUUGAGAAAGGGGGCACCCCACCAAUUCCUAAAAAUACAAUAAUACAAUACAAUAAAUGUAAGGUUAUAUGAGGAAUUCGAGAGAAAAAGCAUUUACAAAACAUUAAUUUAAAGUACAUCGCCAGGGAACUACAAAAACUCCCACGGGUGUUCAAUAAAUACUUUUUGAACACCUAUGAGCCAAACAAAUGCAAAGUACCAGGCCCCAGCUAUCAACACUGGGAGACUUACUUCCUCUCCCCAGUCCACCGCUGGCUCUUGUCUUGGUCACCAGCCGGCUCCACCGUGCUAAACCCAGCGGUCCACCUGGAUCAGGUCCAGCCUCUGACCCCUUUGAUCACCUCUCGGGGAACCACUCGCUGCUCCCGGUUUUCCUCCUACCUCGCUGGAUCGCCCACCCUCCUGGGGCUUCACCACUGCACCCCGCCUCGGAUGUCCAACACAAGGCUCCCAGUUCACAGUCAAGCCUCAACUCUUGAACGUUCCCCAAAAGCCUUAGGUCGCCAUCCUCCUUGGCCCCCACUUCUCCCUUCGGCUCACGUCUCACACCCAUACAACCCGAUAAACCCCAGCAACCGUGUCCCAACCCGGCCGCGCCUCCCACGCCCAUCACCCGGUCCAGGCCCAUCAGCCCCGGGCACUUGACUUUCCAACCUCGUUUCUGGUCCCCUCCCUCGCCUCUCCGGCCGCAGCUAGGCCCCGGCGCUGUGCCGGGAAGACCCCCGAUCUCCGGCCUCCGCCCGCGUGUCUGCCGGGGGGUUUUGGGGGCUGCCAGCUGGAUCCACCCGAAGAAACGGGGUCCGCGCCCCCUUCCCUUCCUCGCCCUACCCCCUCGCCCUCCCCGUUUCCCA
ensembl:lncRNA